rnacentral:rRNA from 1 species
GACGAACGCUGGCGGCGUGCUUAACACAUGCAAGUCGAACGGAAAGGCCCUGCUUUUGUGGGGUGCUCGAGUGGCGAACGGGUGAGUAACACGUGAGUAACCUGCCCUUGACUUUGGGAUAACUUCAGGAAACUGGGGCUAAUACCGGAUAGGAGCUCCUGCUGCAUGGUGGGGGUUGGAAAGUUUCGGCAGUUGGGGAUGGACUCGCGGCUUAUCAGCUUGUUGGUGGGGUAGUGGCUUACCAAGGCUUUGACGGGUAGCCGGCCUGAGAGGGUGACCGGCCACAUUGGGACUGAGAUACGGCCCAGACUCCUACGGGAGGCAGCAGUGGGGAAUAUUGCACAAUGGGCGGAAGCCUGAUGCAGCAACGCCGCGUGCGGGAUGACGGCCUUCGGGUUGUAAACCGCUUUCGCCUGUGACGAAGCGUGAGUGACGGUAAUGGGUAAAGAAGCACCGGCUAACUACGU